GAUGAAGAACGUAGUGAAAUGCGAUAAGUAAUGUGAAUUGCAGAAUUCAGUGAAUCAUCGAAUCUUUGAACGCACAUUGCGCCCGCCAGUAUUCUGGCGGGCAUGCCUGUCCGAGCGUCAUUUCAACCCUCGAACCCCUCCGGGGGGUCGGCGUUGGGGACCUCGGGAGCCCCUAAGACGGGAUCCCGGCCCCGAAAUACAGUGGCGGUCUCGCCGCAGCCUCUCCUGCGCAGUAGUUUGUACAACUCGCACCGGGAGCGCGGCGCGUCCACGUCCGUAAAACACCCAACUUCUGAAAUGUUGACCUCGGAUCAGGUAGGAAUACCCGCUGAACUUAAGCAUAUCAAUAAGCGGAGGA
rnacentral:misc_RNA from 1 species